GCUUGCAUUCGGGGUUGAGGACUGCAAUAUCCAAGAGAACGCUUUAGCAGAGUUACCUGGAAAGGUAAGCCAUAGAAAGUGAUAGCCUUGUAUGCGACAAGGCGUUCUCAGGUAGCAGUAUCCAGAGUAGGCCAGGACACGAGAAAUCCAGGUUGAAGCCGGGGAGACCACUCUCCAACCCUAAAUACUACUCUUUGAGCGAUAGCGAACAAGUACCGUGAGGGAAAGGUGAAAAGAACCGCAGUGAGCGGAGUGAAAUAGAACCUGAAACCAUCUGCUUACAAUCAUUCAGAGCCCUAUGAUUUAUCAGGGUGAUGGACUGCCUUUUGCAUAAUGAUCCUGCGAGUUGUGGUAUCUGGCAAGGUUAAGCGAAUGCGAAGCCGUAGCGAAAGCGAGUCUUAAUAGGGCGCUUGAGUCAGAUGCUGCAGACCCGAAGCUGAGUGAUCUAUCCAUGGCCAAGUUGAAACGCGUGUAAUAGCGCGUGGAGGACUGAACUCGUACCCAUUGAAACGGGUUGGGAUGAGCUGUGGAUAGGGGUGAAAGGCCAAACAAACUUAGUGAUAGCUGGUUCUCUUCGAAAUAUAUUUAGGUAUAGCCUCAAGUGAUAAUAAAAGGGGGUAGAGCACUGAUUGGGCUAGGGCUGCUCGCCGCGGUACCAAACCCUAUCAAACUUCGAAUACCUUUUAUCGUAUCUUGGGAGUCAGGCGGUGGGUGAUAAAAUCAAUCGUCAAAAGGGGAACAACCCAGACUACCAAAUAAGGUCCCUAAGUUCUAUUCUGAGUGGAAAAAGAUGUGUGGCUACUCAAACAACCAGGAGGUUGGCUUAGAAGCAGCCAUCCUUUAAAGAAAGCGUAACAGCUCACUGGUCUAGUGGUCAUGCGCUGAAAAUAUAACGGGGCUAAGAUAGACACCGAAUUUGUAGAUUGUGUUUGACACAGUGGUAGAAGAGCGUUCAUACCAGCGUUGAAGGUAUACCGGUAAGGAGUGCUGGAGCGGUAUGAAGUGAGCAUGCAGGAAUGAGUAACGAUAAGAUAUAUGAGAAUUGUAUCCGCCGUAAAUCUAAGGUUUCCUACGCGAUGGUCGUCAUCGUAGGGUUAGUCGGGUCCUAAGCCGAGUCCGAAAGGGGUAGGUGAUGGCAAAUUGGUUAAUAUUCCAAUACCGACUUAUGGAGCGUGAUGGGGGGACGCAUAGGGUUAAGCGAGCUAGCUGAUGGAAGCGCUAGUCUAAGGGCGUAGAUUGGAGGGAAGGCAAAUCCACCUCUGUAUUUGAAACCCAAACAGGCUCUUUGAGUCCUUUUAGGACAAAGGGAGAAUCGCUGAUACCGUCGUGCCAAGAAAAGCCUCUAAGCAUAUCCAUAGUCGUCCGUACCGCAAACCGACACAGGUAGAUGAGAUGAGUAUUCUAAGGCGCGUGAAAGAACUCUGGUUAAGGAACUCUGCAAACUAGCACCGUAAGUUCGCGAUAAGGUGUGCCACAGCGAUGUGGUCUCAGCAAAGAGUCCCUCCCGACUGUUUACCAAAAACACAGCACUUUGCCAACUCGUAAGAGGAAGUAUAAGGUGUGACGCCUGCCCGGUGCUCGAAGGUUAAGAGGAUGCGUCAGUCGCAAGAUGAAGCGUUGAAUUGAAGCCCGAGUAAACGGCGGCCGUAACUAUAACGGUCCUAAGGUAGCGAAAUUCCUUGUCGGUUAAAUACCGACCUGCAUGAAUGGCGUAACGAGAUGGGAGCUGUCUCAACCAGAGAUUCAGUGAAAUUGUAGUGGAGGUGAAAAUUCCUCCUACCCGCGGCAAGACGGAAAGACCCCGUGGACCUUUACUACAACUUAGCACUGCUAAUGGGAAUAUCAUGCGCAGGAUAGGUGGGAGGCUUUGAAGUAAGGGCUUUGGCUCUUAUGGAGCCAUCCUUGAGAUACCACCCUUGAUGUUUCUGUUAGCUAACUGGCCUGUGUUAUCCACAGGCAGGACAAUGCUUGGUGGGUAGUUUGACUGGGGCGGUCGCCUCCUAAAAAGUAACGGAGGCUUGCAAAGGUUGGCUCAUUGCGGUUGGAAAUCGCAAGUUGAGUGUAAUGGCACAAGCCAGCCUGACUGUAAGACAUACAAGUCAAGCAGAGACGAAAGUCGGUCAUAGUGAUCCGGUGGUUCUGUGUGGAAGGGCCAUCGCUCAAAGGAUAAAAGGUACCCCGGGGAUAACAGGCUGAUCUCCCCCAAGAGCUCACAUCGACGGGGAGGUUUGGCACCUCGA
rnacentral:rRNA from 1 species